GAUCAAAUCAAGCGCGAGAAGGGCGUUUGGUGGAUGCCUUGGCAGCAAGAGGCGAUGAAGGACGUGAUACUCUGCGAUAAGCCAGGGGGAGCCGAGAAUAGGCUUUGAUCCCUGGAUCUCCGAAUGGGGCAACCCACCUGAUAUUCAGUUAUUAUCAGCCGUCAGGUUUUUGAUAAUUGGGUAAACCAGGUACUUCUUACCUGAAUACAUAGGGUUUGAAGAGCAAACCCGGGGAACUGAAACAUCUAAGUACCCGGAGGAAAGGAAAUCAAUGAUACUCCCCUAGUAGCGGCGAGCGAACGGGGACCAGCCGAGCCUUGAGAGUGAUCGGAACAUGCUGGAAAGCAUGGCCAUAGCGGGUGACAGCCCCGUACGAGAAGCUCGAUGGGACGUAUUAAGUAGGGCGGGACACGUGAAAUCCUGUCUGAAGAUCGGAGGACCACCUUCGAAGGCUAAGUACUCCUUGCUGACCGAUAGCGAACCAGUACCGUGAGGGAAAGGUGAAAAGCACCCCGACGAGGGGAGUGAAACAGUACCUGAAACCGAACGCCUACAAUCAGUCGGAGCUCCUAGUGACGGCGUACCUUUUGUAUAAUGGGUCAUCGACUUGGUCUAUCUAGCAAGCUUAAGCCGAUAGGUGUAGGCGCAGCGAAAGCGAGUCUUAAUAGGGCGUCGAGUUAGAUGGAUCAGACCCGAAACCGAGUGAUCUAGGCAUGACCAGGAUGAAGGUAAGGUAACACUUACUGGAGGUCCGAACCCACACCUGUUGAAAAAGGUCGGGAUGAGUUGUGCCUAGGGGUGAAAGGCCAAUCAAACUCGGAGAUAGCUGGUUCUCCGCGAAAUCUAUUUAGGUAGAGCGUCAUCCGAAUACCCCGGGGGGUAGAGCACUGGAUGGGUAAUGGGGCCCCACAGGCUUACUGAUCCUAACCAAACUCCGAAUACCCGGGAGUACUAGAUGGCAGACACACUGCGGAUGCUAACGUCCGUAGUGGAGAGGGAAACAACCCUGACCUACAGCUAAGGCCCCCAAUUCAUGGCUAAGUGGGAAAGCAGGUGGGACGACCAAAACAACCAGGAGGUUGGCUUAGAAGCAGCCAUCCUUUAAAGAUAGCGUAACAGCUCACUGGUCUAAACAAGUUGUCCUGCGGCGAAGAUGUAACGGGGCUCAAGCCAUGAGCCGAAGCUUAGGAUGCCGUAAGGCAUGGUAGCGGAGCGUAGUGUGAUAUAGGACUUAUCCUUUACUGCCGCCGGUCGUACGGAGCGUGGAAACGCGCUCAAGUAGCCGAUAGGCGGUAGCGCAGGAGAAAGUCUUUUCUGUGAAGCCGGCCUGUGAGGGAUCCGGUGGAGAGAUCACUAGCGAGAAUGAUGACAUGAGUAGCGACAAAGAGUGUGAGAGACACUCUCGCCGAAAGUCCAAGGGUUCCUGCUUAAAGCUAAUCUGAGCAGGGUAAGCCGACCCCUAAGGCGAGGCCGAAAGGCGUAGUCGAUGGGAACCAGGUUAAUAUUCCUGGGCCAGGAGGAUGUGACGGAUUGUGGCGGCGUGCGUGCCUUAUCGGAUUGGCGCGUAUCCAAGACAGUCCCAGGAAAUAGCCCUCCAUGAGAUCGUACCCUAAACCGACACAGGUGGACUGGUAGAGAAUACCAAGGCGCUUGAGAGAACGAUGUUGAAGGAACUCGGCAAAAUACCUCCGUAAGUUCGCGAGAAGGAGGCCCGGUACACGACUACCGGGGGCACAAACCAGGGGGUGGCGACUGUUUAUUAAAAACACAGGGCUCUGCGAAGUCGCAAGACGACGUAUAGGGUCUGACGCCUGCCCGGUGCCUGAAGGUUAAAAGGAGGGGUGCAAGCUCCGAAUUGAAGCCCAGGUAAACGGCGGCCGUAACUAUAACGGUCCUAAGGUAGCGAAAUUCCUUGUCGGGUAAGUUCCGACCUGCACGAAUGGCGUAACGACUUCCCCGCUGUCUCCAACAUCGACUCAGCGAAAUUGAAUUGCCUGUCAAGAUGCAGGCUUCCCGCGGUUAGACGGAAAGACCCCGUGCACCUUCACUACAGCUUCGCACUGGCAUCAGGCACAACAUGUGCAGGAUAGGUGGUAGGCUUUGAAGCAGGGACGCCAGUCCCUGUGGAGCCUCCCUUGAGAUACCACCCUUGUUCUGCUUGAUGUCUAACCGCGGCCCGUUAUCCGGGUCCGGGACCCUGCGUGGUGGGUAGUUUGACUGGGGCGGUCGCCUCCUAAAGCGUAACGGAGGCGCGCGAAGGUUGGCUCAGAGCGGUCGGAAAUCGCUCGUUGAGUGCAAUGGCAGAAGCCAGCCUGACUGCAAGACUGACAAGUCGAGCAGAGUCGAAAGACGGCCAUAGUGAUCCGGUGGUCCCAAGUGGGAGGGCCAUCGCUCAACGGAUAAAAGGUACGCCGGGGAUAACAGGCUGAUACUGCCCAAGAGUCCAUAUCGACGGCAGUGUUUGGCACCUCGAUGUCGGCUCAUCUCAUCCUGGGGCUGGAGCAGGUCCCAAGGGUAUGGCUGUUCGCCAUUUAAAGAGGUACGUGAGCUGGGUUUAGAACGUCGUGAGACAGUUCGGUCCCUAUCUGCCGUGGGUGUAGGAUACUUGAGAGGAGUUGCCCCUAGUACGAGAGGACCGGGGUGAACGAUCCACUGGUGGACCUGUUGUUGCGCCAGCAGCAGUGCAGGGUAGCUAUGAUCGGACAGGAUAACCGCUGAAGGCAUCUAAGCGGGAAGCCCCCCUCAAAACAAGGUAUCCCUGAGGACCGUGGAAGACCACCACGUCGAUAGGCCGGAGAUGUAAGCACAGCAAUGUGUUCAGUUGACCGGUACUAAUGGUCCGAUAGGCUUGAUUUGAUCCAG
rnacentral:rRNA from 1 species